CCAGCGCUUCAUACAUGCUAGGCAAGUGCUCUGCCAUGAGCUACCUCCCCGGCUCCACCUCCAGCUCCUCCUCGUUAAUACUUUGUUUUUGAGAGGGAAUCUCAUUAAAUUGCCUAAGCUGGCCUCGAGCUUGCAGCCCUCCUGCCCUAGCCUCUGAAACAGCCGGGAUCACAGGUGUGCACCACCUCCCAUAGCUCAACAGGUUUGGGAUCCAAGAACGGCUCUCGGUGCACAGAGGAGAGUGCUGGAGGCCUCCUGCCAUGCUUGUCUCGGGCUUGGGCGCCCGGAGAAGUCCGUCCUGGAAGCCGCAUGUCUGCCUCCGAAAAUAAUGCGGCCGCAGGAGUCGCUCCCCCCGGAUGGCCGCCUCCUCCCCUGGGAUGACAAGAGGCGCUGGACAGUGUAUUUUUAGCUGGGACAGCGGCCGGGAGCAGCACGCGCUGCCCAGCCCGGCCGCCGCCGCCGCUCCUCCUCGGUCCCGGCGCGCCCUCUGCCGGCCGCCCGGAGCCCGCCGCGCCGAGCGUACCCGCCGACUGCUCCCCGCCCGCCCUGGCCCGCUGCGAGCUGAGCGGGGCGGUUUGUACACGGUGAACUGAGGAAGAGAAAGGACAGCAGCCGCUAAGCUGCAAUCGGGCGCCAGGAAGGACACAACCAUGGCCACUCAUGAGUACCAGGGAUCUAACUCAUGACCUCAUGCUUGUCAGCCUGUUUAUGCCACUGAGCUAAAUCCCCCAAAUUAAUUAAUGAAUUAAUUAAAUAAAAAAGGUCUGGGA